rnacentral:rRNA from 2 species
UAAAACCAGCACCUCAAGUGGUCAGGAUGAUUAUUGGGCCUAAAGCAUCCGUAGCCGGUUUUGUAAGUUUUCGGUUAAAUCCAUACGCUCAACGUAUGGGCUGCCGGGAAUACUGCAAAACUAGGGAGUGGGAGAGGUAGACGGUACUCGGGAGGAAGGGGUAAAAUCCUUUGAUCUCUCGAUGACCACCUGUGGCGAAGGCGGUCUACCAGAACACGUCCGACGGUGAGGGAUGAAAGCUGGGGGAGCAAACCGGAUUAGAUACCCGGGUAGUCCCAGCCGUAAACUAUGCAAACUCGGUGAUGCAUUGGCUUGAUGCCAAUGCAGUGCCGCAGGGAAGCCGUUAAGUUUGCCGCCUGGGAAGUACGUACGCAAGUAUG